CUUCUGAAUCUGCGUUCAGUACAGGAGGCCGAAUCAUCUCUGACCAUAGAACUUGGCUGUCAGGCAACACUGUGGAAGGUUUGAUUUGCUUCCAGGAUUGGCUUAGAGAAUCAGGUUCAUCUUACUUGGACAUCAUAAAGAUUAACAACUCCGGUAGCAGCAUUGAAGAUCUUGGAGUUGCAUGAUGACUUGAAAGACAAGGUAAGGGUUCCUAUUGGGAAAUUCUUGUUGGAGCUUCCAGCUGGGAUACUAGAUGAUGAAAAAGGUGAUUUUGUUGGCACCGCAGUUCGUGAGCUAUUGGAGGCGAGCACAUAUCAGCUGCAUCUGCU